ensembl:lncRNA LINC01446 long intergenic non-protein coding RNA 1446
GGAACCCGGCCGACAGAAGAUGGCGGAUGAGCAGCGUGCAGGGUUUUCUCCCUGUGGCUCACUCUCUCUUACUGUGCUGGGCGGUUGCUUCCUCUCCUGCUGCCCUUGGGAGUCAGACUCCAGGUUCUUCAGCCUGUGGCCCCUGGGGCUCUCGGGCCUUGGAGGACUGACUAGGAGCACACGGUGGGCCUCUCUGGUUUGGGGGCCUGGGACGUGGCGGAGCCCUGCAGCUUCUGUGCGGCCUGUUCUGGGCGUCGCGUUGAAACGCCAGCCAGUUCCCCAAAAAGAGCAUACGGGAGAGAUGAAGCAGUCCACUCCAAGAACAUUCUCAUCCUACGGAUUACGAGUCCCCCUGGGAUUACAGGAGUGUUGAAGAAAUGUUGUGACACAUCAGAACACCGCGAAAUACAUGGACACUUUCAAAUCAUGGAAGACUCAAGCCCACCAGGUAUUUUUGAAAAAAGUACUCUGUGAAAAACAGAAACUGCAAGCAAGACAGAUACCAGGAUUAGGGAUCACGGUGACUUCUACCAUCGCUGGAUACUCCCAAAAGGGUUCUCGAGACAGCAGCUGUGUCUGCCCUGCUUUGGCAUUCUUUCCCAGGCAUGGCGACCGGUCAGGAGGGCAUCUUUCUCGGCUCUUCACUGUGAGAACCUUGUGGGAUUCCUGAAGAUGAAACCAUGAACGCGAGGGAGUCUUGCUAAAACUGCAGCAUUCGAGAGGUUUUCACUCAUGCUGGCUCACACUUGUCCUCUAGCAAUUCAUCAAAAUUACCACGUAAGUGUUUCAACAGUUUAUGGCUCAGGUGGCCUCAGCUGUGAUGCUCCAAAUUUGCCUGUUUCUCCAGAUGCAGGGUAGCAGUUUGCUGUUUCUCCUGAGUUCUUUGAUGGAUUCAAGAAAAGUCAUGAUUUUCAGUUUGUUCUGAUUUUUUCUUGUGAGGGCAAAGUAAUGACUAAGCUUUAAUGUGUUUCAGCUAAAACUACAUGUAUUUUAAUAGCAAAAUGAGAUAUAAUUCACAUGUCAUAAAAGUCACCAUUUUUGGGUGCACAACUCAUUGGAUUUUAGUAUAUUCCAGGGUUAUGCAAGAAUAAAUAUUCUCUAAUUUUGGAACAUAUUUAUCUACUCAGAAAGAAACUUUGUGCUCAUUAACAGUUACUUAAUAUUCUCUCUCCCCUAACCUAUGGUAACUACUAGUCGACUUGCUAUAGAUUAGGUUACUUUGGAUAUUUCAUAUAUGUUGAAUCAUAAAAUAUGUGCCUUGGCUUCUUUCACUUACCGUAAUAUUUACAAAAUUCAUUCAUCUUACAAAGUACUUCAUUCUAUUUUUGAUUUUAUGGGUUAAUAAUAUUCUACUGUCUGGCUAUAUACAUGUAUGAAUAAUGUGGCAACAUUUUGUCCAUACACUCAUCAUGUGAUUAGUAUUUGCUUUGUUGUUGUUGUGUGUUUUUUAUUUUUCAGUUAUUAUGAAUAAUGAUUAUGAAUUCAGUUAUUAUGAAUAACUACAAUAAAUAGUUAUGCAUAAGUUUU